AGCGAACGCUGGCGGCAGGCUUAACACAUGCAAGUCGAACGGGCGUAGCAAUACGUCAGUGGCAGACGGGUGAGUAACGCGUGGGAACGUACCUUUUGGUUCGGAACAACCCAGGGAAACUUGGGCUAAUACCGGAUAAGCCCUUACGGGGAAAGAUUUAUCGCCGAAAGAUCGGCCCGCGUCUGAUUAGCUAGUUGGUGAGGUAACGGCUCACCAAGGCGACGAUCAGUAGCUGGUCUGAGAGGAUGAUCAGCCACAUUGGGACUGAGACACGGCCCAAACUCCUACGGAGGCAGCAGUGGGAAUAUUGGACAAUGGGCGGCAAGCCUGAUCCAGCCAUGCCGCGUGAGUGAUGAAGGCCUAGGGUUGUAAAGCUCUUUUGUGCGGGAAGAUAAUGACGGUACCGCAAGAAUAA
rnacentral:rRNA from 1 species